CUGUACUUCAUUUUAUAAACCCCCGGUUUCUUAAACUUCACUCUUUUGUGGAGGGUGACCUUCCUGCUUCCUGCUUCCUGCUUCCUGCUUCCUGCUUCCUGCUUCCUGCUUCCUGCUUCCUGCUUCCUGCUUCAGACUGCAAGCAGUGCCCUUAUGAAAGAUGACUUUUAUUUUUUCCUCACAGAAGCAGGUGUACUGUGGUCUAUUACUCAUCCCCGUUGUACUCAACGAGGGGCUGGAGUAUAUUGGAUUAGCUUCAGAGUCAUGUGAACUUAGAAAACAUUCUUUUUCAAGGAGAGUAGAUUGAUCUUGUAGAUGGGCACACAGCACCAUCAAUCAUACCAGUCUGGCUGGUGGUUGAUUUCUGUUCUCUGCACCAUCCACCCAUUCUCUGCCUCCAGUCUGUACACUGCAGGUUUUAGAAACUCCCUCUUUUUAAAAAUUGAUUAUUUUAUUUACUUUUCAAAUGUUGUCCCUCCUUCCUGGUCUUCCUUUCACAAACUCUCCAUCCUAUCCUCCCACCCCUUUGCCUCUAAGAGGGUGUUCCCCAACCAACCCACCCACCCACUCCUGCCUAGCAUCUCCCUUUGCUGGAGCAUCAAGCCUCCACAGGACCAAGGGCCUCCCCUUCCAUUGAUUCCAGAUAAGGCCAUCCUCUGCUACAUAUGUCACCGGAGCCAUGGACCCAUGCAUAUUCUUUGCUCCUUCAGCCCUUCCCUCAAUUUUUCCAUUGGAGUCCUGGGCUCAUUCUGGACAAAAAAUGGGGCAGAGACUAAAGGAAAGGCCAUCCAGAGACUGCCCUACCUUGGAAUCUAUCCCAUCUGAAGACACCAAACUCCAGCACUAUUGCGGAUGCCAAGAGGUGCUUGCUGACAGGAGCCUGGUAUAGAUGUUCCCUGAGAGGCUUUGCCAACACCUGACUAAUAAGGGAGUGAAGCACACUGAGUUGUGGAAAUGCUACAAGGGCCAGUUUUUGGGUCUUAGAAGAGUGUAGACCAGGGCUUGGACUUGGCUGUGUUCCUCUGCUGAAGGUUACAGCUACUGCUGCACAGCUGUCUUUGUACAGAUCUCCCCAGAUAAAGCCACAAUGUAAGGUUCCAGGUGGCCACACUUAUUUGGAGACACCAUUUAACACGGUUCUGCUUCUACUUCCAUGAGAACCUAGUGAAGAAGACACAGCCAGAGCUUUGAUCAAAGAUUCCAAAUGCAAAUACAACUAACCACCCAACUGGUCCCAUCAGCCAAUGUAUCUCUUUGUUACCUCAAGGGAGAUUGAUUUACGCUUUCAUCAAUAAAUCUUCAUAUUUUCAAUG
rnacentral:lncRNA from 1 species